rnacentral:rRNA from 1 species
CUAGGGGAGCAGCAGUGGGGAAUAUUGCACAAUGGGCGGAAGCCUGAUGCAGCAACGCCGCGUGAGGGAUGACGGCCUUCGGGUUGUAAACCUCUUUUAGCAGGGAAGAAGCGAGAGUGACGGUACCUGCAGAAAAAGCGCCGGCUAACUACGUGCCAGCAGCCGCGGUAAUACGUAGGGCGCAAGCGUUAUCCGGAAUUAUUGGGCGUAAAGAGCUCGUAGGCGGUUUGUCGCGUCUGCUGUGAAAUCCCGAGGCUCAACCUCGGGCCUGCAGUGGGUACGGGCAGACUAGAGUGCGGUAGGGGAGAUUGGAAUUCCUGGUGUAGCGGUGGAAUGCGCAGAUAUCAGGAGGAACACCGAUGGCGAAGGCAGAUCUCUGGGCCGUAACUGACGCUGAGGAGCGAAAGGGUGGGGAGCAAACAGGCUUAGAUACCCUGGUAGUCCACCCCGUAAACGUUGGGAACUAGUUGUGGGGACCAUUCCACGGUUUCCGUGACGCAGCUAACGCAUUAAGUUCCCCGCCUGGGGAGUACGGCCGCAAGGCUAAAACUCAAAGGAAUUGACGGGGACCCGCACAAGCGGCGGAGCAUGCGGAUUAAUUCGAUGCAACGCGAAGAACCUUACCAAGGCUUGACAUACACCAGAACACCGUAGAAAUACGGGACUCUUUGGACACUGGUGAACAGGUGGUGCAUGGUUGUCGUCAGCUCGUGUCGUGAGAUGUUGGGUUAAGUCCCGCAACGAGCGCAACCCUCGUUCUAUGUUGCCAGCACGUAAUGGUGGGAACUCAUGGGAUACUGCCGGGGUCAACUCGGAGGAAGGUGGGGAUGACGUCAAAUCAUCAUGCCCCUUAUGUCUUGGGCUUCACGCAUGCUACAAUGGCCGGUACAAAGGGCUGCAAUACCGUGAGGUGGAGCGAAUCCCAAAAAGCCGGUCCCAGUUCGGAUUGAGGUCUGCAACUCGACCUCAUGAAGUCGGAGUCGCUAGUAAUCGCAGAUCAGCAACGCUGCGG